rnacentral:lncRNA from 1 species
AUGCAGCAGCACUGGGGACAUAUUCCACUUCAACAGAUGAAACCUUUUCUCCCCAUUGUUAGUUACAGGUCUAUGGGAACACUCACUAACCAGGUCCUGCAUGCCCAAGUCAGCAGCAGUCUUCUCCAGGGUGCCAGACUUCCCUGCCCUUUCAUAUACAUAAAUCUCAACACUGACUAGAUGAUGAAGCCAAACAAGGAGAUACCCUGCAGUUCCUAUGAUGACACAUCUCACUGCUGCUGACUCACCUGGUGAUAUAAGACUUUCUGUUGGUAUUUCUAUAAAUGACAAAAAUAAACAUCUGCUAAG